rnacentral:rRNA from 1 species
UUUGCCUACGGGACGCAGCAGUCGAGAAUCAUUCACAAUGGGGGAAACCCUGAUGCAGCGACGCCGCGUGAGUGAAGAAGUAUUUCGGUAUGUAAAGCUCUCUCAGCAGGGAAGAAAAUGACGGUACCUGACUAAGAAGCCCCGGCUAACUACGUGCCAGCAGCCGCGGUAAUACGUAGGGGGCAAGCGUUAUCCGGAUUUACUGGGUGUAAAGGGAGCGUAGACGGCAGAGCAAGUCUGAAGUGAAAGCCCGCGGCCCAACUGCGGGACUGCUUUGGAAACUGCCCGGCUAG